rnacentral:misc_RNA from 1 species
AAGAAAACCACCUUUUAUUUGGGUUUGCUCGCUUCUCGUGUUGCUUUUCCUUUGAAAAGCCGUCUACGAUCGUCUGUUGGGGACAAUAUAGUAAUUUCGAAGAUUUUCUAUUAUAGGUCAUUUCAGGGCCCAGAGUCUCUGGUGACUACAACACCCAGGCGGCAGACGCCACUAUUCUUACGGAGAAAGGGAGAGAGUUCCUUUUCAUUUGAUAUGUGAAGAGCUCAUUUGUGGACACGUCAAGGACCUAAUGGUGUGUAGACGCUCAAAACUACCAUUUGUUCCUCAUACUAUUUAUUCUUUCUUUCCUUCUUGAUUUUCAACUUUUCUUGAAUAUGCUUUGUUAGAUAUGAAUGUGGUGAAUUCCAUUUCUGGUGUGUGGCGUGAUGGGUUUGAUUAGUAUCACUCUUAGUUUCCCUGUUCUUUCUAGAUAAUGAUUGCUCAAUAUUUUAAUUUCCUGUAUUUGGUUUAUCUAAAAUUGCUCUUCUGUUUGGCUAUAUGCUGGUUUGAUGGGUGCCUGCUGACGUAUUUUCUGUCUGUUUAUUUUAUUUUAUUUUGAUUAUCUGUACAGUUGUGGGUAUAAUUGCAUACUCAAUCUCCACAAGUUCUUUUUUUAAGUAAGAGUUUUGUUGUUUGUAUGCGCCUUUUACGUAUAUACUGUUGUUAAUCGCAAUGUCAAGCUAGAUAAAACUUGCUAACAGCAUUUUGUUUUUAAAUGAUGGCGUUCUCUUGAUUUAGUAUUAAUUCAAUAUUGGAUCCCAUAAUGCGGCUCCGUUUUGUUUGUUUUGAUUUACCUUGAAGCGAACUCUGCUCGUCCCUUCACCUGAGUGAUUGAAUAUUUGUGGAAUUAAUUAGAGAAAUAUGAGGCAGAGGAGGUUGGUUUUAAAGGAAAGGCUAAGGUGUUGAACUCAGCAUUCCCACAAUCCCACCCAAAAUAAACUGAAUCAAUUCCAAUUGGUAGAGAAAAGAAGUUUUGAUUGUAUAUUGAGAACUUUUUUACUUAAAUAUAAGACUGUCUUUACCUUAUAGUAAUUCUGAUUUGAAAUUGGUCUUUAAUUGGUGGUUUGAUUUUUAUUUUACACUUCUAUGAUUUUCAUGGCUACUGUACUUUCCAGUUAAGUAGCACUUCUUGUGUAUGAGAAGAUUUUCUGAAAAUAAAUCGACAUUUUAUGCCAUCAUAGAUAGCCUAUUACAUCUAUCCUUGAACUUCAAUACUGUGAAUUGUUGGCAUCUUCUAGGCAAUAACAGUUCCAUGCCUUUAAAGGUAACCUUUUAGCUCAUCUCCACUGAUUAACGUAUCACCGUAUUCAUGUGAUUCAUAAAUUUGAAUCUAUGUCAUCUGAGGAUCCCUUGCAGUUGAAGAUCCUUAUCCCUGAAAUAUUGGGACGAAUUAUCCAUUGAACAUAGUUUUCUAUUUUAAGCCUCUCUGUGAUUUUCUCUUUUUCUGUUAAGUUUAGUGUUUGAGGAUGCCUUUUCUAGAUUGGAAUUACUCUUAUCUGUAGUUGUUGCAUAGGAUGCUCAACGGUUGAAAGUGUCUAUUUCUUUGGUGGUCUUCAGUGUUCAUUUGCACUGGGUAGACUGUCAGAGUUACACUUCUCUUGUUGUGCUCAUCCACAAGCUUCAGUUUUGAAAAAGACCUAAAAGUUGAUAGUCCUGCAAUUUGUAUCCUAGUGCUUGAAUUUUGGGUGCCAUACCAUAAUCAAUUGUUCUCACUCUUUUCAUUCACGUCAAUUAUUCUUGUCAGUUUGCAUAGGUUCUAGCCAUUCUAUGACAAAUUUUCUGUUUCUCAUUUGUUGGUUCUUGUUAUAUUACUUUGAUAAUGUGCCUUACGGCUGAAUAAUCCUGAUAAAAGAACAACAGGAUUGUGUUUUGCACAAUGCAUUGAAGUUUCUUACUUCUGUGAUGUUAAUACAAUCCUCUUUGUUAGCAUGUCAAAUUGGAAAGUUCGCACUUUCAUAAUACAAAUCACAGGAAGCAUGUGCAGGCAUGUACCAUUCUUGUGAUACUCAUGGUGUUGUUAAAAUGAAUUUUCAGAUGGACGCACAAAAUCCUCAACAUGGACAAAUUAUUGAAAUAAGUGUUGAUGUUCCUGAUGGGGGAAGCAGUGUUGGGGGAAGUAAGAUAUGUGGAGAAGCACCUUGUGGAUUCUCAGAU